CAGUCGCCACGGUAAAACGAAGGGUGCAAGCGUUAAUCGGAAUUACUGGGCGUAAAGCGUGCGUAGGCGGUUUGUUAAGACAGAUGUGAAAUCCCCGGGCUCAACCUGGGAACUGCAUUUGUGACUGGCAGGCUAGAGUAUGGCAGAGGGGGGUGGAAUUCCGCGUGUAGCAGUGAAAUGCGUAGAUAUGCGGAGGAACACCGAUGGCGAAGGCAGCCCCCUGGGCCAAUACUGACGCUCAUGCACGAAAGCGUGGGGAGCAAACAGGAUUAGAUACCCCUGUAGUCCCUGUCUCUUAUAC
rnacentral:rRNA from 1 species